UACGUAGGGGGCAAGCGUUGUCCGGAAUUAUUGGGCGCAAAGCGCGCGCAGGCGGUUCUUUAAGUCUGGUGUCUAAGUGCGGGGCUCAACCCCGUGAUGCACUGGAAACUGGGGAACUUGAGUGCAGAAGAGGAGAGCGGAAUUCCACGUGUAGCGGUGAAAUGCGUAGAGAUGUGGAGGAACACCAGUGGCGAAGGCGGCUCUCUGGACUGUAACUGACGCUGAGGCGCGAAAGCGUGGGGAGC
rnacentral:rRNA from 1 species